rnacentral:lncRNA from 1 species
AUGCAGCAUAUGGACUUCUUAACUUGGAAGAGCAUCAAGACACAAAGGGAUGUGUUCUUAACUGAGAACUUCAGAAGGCCACAGUGUAGGUGGAUGCUCCCUAUCACCAUGAAACUAAGUUAUUUACAAAGCAUGCAUCUCUCUGAAGAUUUUUUUGUAAGUGGUUGGAAUGAAGCAUGCUUCUGCAUGUCUCAGAAAAGAGUGUGUGUGUAUGUGUGUGUAGGAGUUGUAUUAAAU